rnacentral:lncRNA from 12 species
CAGGUUUCACCGUCUCUGGAAAAAACAGGAAUAUGUCCUCCAGAGAAGCCUGCUUUUAGAAAGGACUCUCGUGUUUUCCUUCCAAGGGAAACCAAAGCAGAGAGAGAAUGGAAUGUGAAGAGUUGCAGAGACAGUUCAGGAACCCAUCAGAAGUUGCAAGGUUAUGUUUUAAGAAAUCCUCUGACUACUGUCUUUCUCACUACUCAAAAGAAAUGACUUCACUUAGGCUUUGGAAAAGCAUCUUGGGCUACCUCGACCCAGGUCGGUUGUAAAGCUGGAAAGCAGUUUCCAAAUUAAAAAUACACAAUAUUUAA